rnacentral:sRNA from 1 species
GCCGGGCGCGGUGGCACACGCCUGUAAUCCCAGCGGCUUGGGAAGCUGAGAUAGGAGGAUCGCAAGUUCAGAGCCAGCAACCGCGAGGUGCUAAGCAACUCAGUGAGACCCUGUCUCUA